AUUCAUCACCUUGUUAAUUUUUUUCAUUAUUUCAUGAUUACAAUAGGCAUCUUCAGUUUGUUGAAUGCUGCGUCGUUCCACUCCUGGGCAGCACUAUUAUUCUUACAUGAUACAUUCCUGUGUGAAGCUGAAAAAAAGACCUUAGAGUACAGAAGAUUAAAAAUGUCUGAUGGUCAUUCCAUGUUUAAGCCCCUUAAACAGGAUAGUGUGAAACACAUAGCGGCGGUGUCUAUGGCAACAGGUGUGAAAUCAAAGAUCCAUUUGUGACUGAGGAGGACUGAGAAACUGUUGGAG